GAGUUUGAUCCUGGCUCAGAUUGAACGCUGGCGGCAUGCCUUACACAUGCAAGUCGAACGGCAGCGGGGGAGAAGCUUGCUUCUCCUGCCGGCGAGUGGCGAACGGGUGAGUAAUACAUCGGAACGUGCCCUGUAGUGGGGGAUAACUAGUCGAAAGAUUAGCUAAUACCGCAUACGACCUGAGGGUGAAAGUGGGGGACCGCAAGGCCUCAUGCUAUAGGAGCGGCCGAUGUCUGAUUAGCUAGUUGGUGGGGUAAAGGCCUACCAAGGCGACGAUCAGUAGCUGGUCUGAGAGGAUGAUCAGCCACACUGGGACUGAGACACGGCCCAGACUCCUACGGGAGGCAGCAGUGGGGAAUAUUGGACAAUGGGCGCAAGCCUGAUCCAGCCAUGCCGCGUGAGUGAUGAAGGCCCUAGGGUUGUAAAGCUCUUUUGUGCGGGAAGAUAAUGACUGUACCGCAAGAAUAAGCCCCGGCUAACUUCGUGCCAGCCGCCGUA
rnacentral:rRNA from 1 species